GAAUGUAAACACAAUCUGGCUGCAACAUCUGUCACCCCAUUGAUCACCAGGGUUGAUUUGGAUGAUCUGGCUGGAUAGGUGGGAAUCCGCUUCCUCCCUCACCACUCCAAGUGCACCCCUCCCAAAGCUACACGCUCAUUCAAAGAGGACAACCUUCUCCAAUAGAGGAGGACCGCUCUUAGGUCAAUGGUAUAUGAAUAGCUGUGCUCCCCUGCUAGAACCUUCAAACAAGGUCUCAAGAAAUGAGCUAUCAAGCUAUGAAAAGAUAUGGAUGAAACUUAAAAGCAUACUCCUAA
ensembl:misc_RNA 7SK 7SK RNA